rnacentral:rRNA from 1 species
UACAGAGGUCUCAAGCGUUGUUCGGAUUCAUUGGGCGUAAAGGGUGCGUAGGUGGCGCGGUAAGUCGGGUGUGAAAUCUCCGAGCUUAACUCGGAAAGGUCAACUGAUACUGCGCGGCUAGAGUGCAGAAGGGGCAACUGGAAUUCUCGGUGUAGCGGUGAAAUGCGUAGAUAUCGAGAGGAACACCUGCGGCGAAGGCGGGUUGCUGGGCUGACACUGACGCUGAGGCGCGAAAGCCAGGGGAGCAAACGGG